GCGCCUAUGGUGUAAUGGCAACCCGUCUGCCUGCCAGGCAGAAGAUGCGAGUUCGAUUCUCGCUGGGCGCU
rnacentral:tRNA from 1 species